ensembl:snRNA U6 U6 spliceosomal RNA
GUGCUUGCUUCGGCAGCACAUAUACUAAAAUUGGAACGAUACAGAGAAGGUUAGCAUGGCCCCUGUGCAAGGACGACACGCAAAUUUGUGAAGCAUUCCAUAUUUUU